rnacentral:sRNA from 1 species
GGGAAUUACGCUACAAACACAAGAUACUUUAGAUGAUGAUGAUGAUGGUGUCUUAAUAUUUUUAAUAUAACCGGCAUUGGCCAAUUACUUCCAUGGAUUCUUCUAACGCGUCCUUGUUCUGUGUUUCCUGAAUACAAUGAGUUUGGCAAGGACACAAGGCAUUUUGAUUAUGUAUCUAUUUAAUUUAAUAUGAUCAGCACCAGCAAUGCUCUUCCAAAAAAAAAAAAAAAUCAAUGGACCCUUUGUUCUACUUCACAGCAGCUUCAUACUGCUUUCAUUUAUCAUUGUUACAGAUUCAGUGAUAAUAUGUCGGCACCGUUGUCUUUCUGCCUUUAUAGACAAUCUAAACACAUUAAUAUCAGCGAGUUUCUCAAGGAUGCCCGAGAUCUCGUCUCUCCUUUCACUCCAUCAUUGACCUACAUAAAUACAUGCAUAUGUGUUUUUGUUUUGUGUGACGCGUGUUCUUCGAUUGAUUCCUAUUUGAACAGUUUACCAAUAAUUCCGUUCAUUGGCUACUGUACGCAAUAUUCAUAUUAAACAAUGAAAACAUAAAAAGCUUUCAAGAUUUAGAGGUAUAGUUACAAAAUUCCAACGUCCUCGUUAAUAAGUUUACAUUUCUCAGCGCCCCCCCCCCCCCCCCCCCCCCCAUUCAAAACGAAAGCACUCCUCACUAUACUGGCACAUGACGUAGGUUCUUAAAAUAAUUGUUGCAUAAUUCUAAAAGCCAUUUCACACCGUCAGUAAUUAGUGUCCACAAUGAAGUACUACAAUGUAAGUAAGAAAUAAAUUUUUGCGUAUGCACAAGCGAGGGCUGUCUGUCAUGAUCACUACACAUACAUGUUCAUGUAUUUGCUAUGUAAAGCGAUCGAUGAUGCAGGUCUAGAACUGUACAUGUCGCUUGAUUUAGCUAUAUAGCUAUUCAGAAUAGCUUGAUUUAGCUAGUUACAUGUAAAUGCAGUUUUUCACAAAAUGUUGAUGAUAAGAAAUAUAUCAAAUGUAUUUGUAAACUAGUAGAUACUAUAUUUGACUUUAUUUGAGAGAGUUUGUAACAAUUAUUCAUGCUUGUACCAAUUGCAAUGAUUUUCAUCAGUUAUGUUUACUUAAAAUGUGUACAUAUUGU